rnacentral:rRNA from 1 species
AGGAUGAACGCUGGCGGCGUGCUUAACACAUGCAAGUCGAACGAUGAAGGCUGGAGCUUGCUCUGGCUGGAUUAGUGGCGAACGGGUGAGUAACACGUGAGUAACCUGCCCCAGACUCUGGGAUAAGCGCUGGAAACGGCGUCUAAUACCGGAUACGAGCUUCCACCGCAUGGUGAGGAGCUGGAAAGAAUUUCGGUCUGGGAUGGACUCGCGGCCUAUCAGCUUGUUGGUGAGGUAAUGGCUCACCAAGGCGACGACGGGUAGCCGGCCUGAGAGGGUGACCGGCCACACUGGGACUGAGACACGGCCCAGACUCCUACGGGAGGCAGCAGUGGGGAAUAUUGCACAAUGGGCGCAAGCCUGAUGCAGCAACGCCGCGUGAGGACGAAGGCCUUCGGUUGUAAACCUCUUUAAGUAGGAAGAAGCGAGUGUUUAUCACUUCAUGACGUACUGUCAAGAAAAGCACCGGACUAACUACGUGCCAGACCG